UCUGCCUCUACAACAAAAUAUACCGAAAGGUGACCUCUAUCCCUAAAACCCUCCAGCAGUUUGUUUUCCCAAGUGAUUAAAAAUAUAGAUUCAGCUGCCUUUUCCCUUGUGCCAUGGGUCAUGUAAGAAAUAGUCAAAGAAAACAGCCACCUUUCUGCUUUCCAGGAAGUAACCCUCCCUAAAAUACAAUAAGCUGCUCUCAGGGUUUGGUGAGUGUAUUCUUAUGGAGGAGUCCCGGGCCCCAGACAGCAGAGAUUAGGGCACAAUAACAAGGGGGAACCUACAAAAGACAUGAGUGAUACAUAGGCUCCUCUAGAAUUCAGUACUAACUCAGAAGGCACAGUAAUUGACAGCCUUCUAGAACUUAGCUGUGAAGAGAAGAAACCAUGGCAGUGCUGAAUCUAUGGGAUUCCUAUCUUCUCAAGCUUCAGAAAUGAAUAUGGUAUAAGGAAGGCAAGUGAAAAGACAGAAUGAGCACUCAAGUUUAGGGUUAGAGACAAUGGCAACGUUGUUCUAAAACAGUGAGACUAAUACUUCAUUAAUCUCUAGACUCGAACUCAGGAAUCUGAGACUUGAACUCAAGAACACAUUCAGAUUUACUUAACAGCCCAAGUAUGUUUACAAACUUCCAAAUUACAACUUCCAAAUUAUUGGGUUCUAAAAAUGCACUUCCAAAUUAGUUAUUUAGAAAUCUGAAAUACAUUUUUCCAAAGCCAGAAUGCCACAAAUGGCAGUUAAAUGUCCUUUUAGGGCUUAAAAGACUAUGUGAACCAUAAUAUAGCUGAAUAGUAGUACUGUAAGUACUGUAGCUUUCCACUGCUUCUCUAUGUACAAACACGCUCCAAUUUCCAGCUGGGCACUGAGAAUGCCAAGAGCACGCUACACCCAGCCUCUAGGGAACAUGUGCUGUCAGGAAGUGAAAGCAGCAGGGGUCAGAGUAAAUAUGGGCAAGUCUUGCCACCGUGGCCAUGCACAAUAAAGGACAGCUGUAACUUGGCAUCUUGAUCUCAGGGACUGCCUGUAAUCAGAACUGUACACAUCUAUCUCUUCUCUGACCACAGUAGUCCUCCACUAAGGGGGCUCAGAAAUCUGCCAGCCAGUCAACUGAGCCCCUGCUAUGUGCUAGGAGUUGUUUCUCUUAUACAGACACUGUCUCAUCGCAUUGCCCUGCCUGGCCUCAAACUCCUGGUUUCACAAGAUCUUCUCGUCUUAGCCUACCAAAGUGCUGGGAUUAUAGGUGUGAGCCACCAUGCCAGGCCAGGAAUUAUUCUAAGUGCUCAAGAUGCAGCAGUGGAGAAGACAGGUCAGAUUCUAGUGCCUAUGUUAUUUACUAGUCAGGAAGACAGACAAUAAACAAAUGAACAGAGUCAAGAUGACAGUUAUCUGUGCUAUAAAGAAAACAGCAGAGGGUAUGUGGUGAGUGAUAGGUAGGAUAGCCAUUCUAGUGAGGGUGGUUCUGAUAGGGUUAAGGUUAACCCAAGGCAACGUUUCAGCAGAGACAAGGGAUUACAGGAAGCCAGACACUGCAGGAAGAGGAAACCAAGCAGAGCCCCUGAAGUGGGAUUAGCAUUGGUGUGUUCAAGCAGCAGCAGAGGCUCACUCGUGUGGCUGAAGUUAAUGGCAAGGCCGGAAAGUAGAGAUCUCCAAGCUGCUAUGUAGAGAAUGGGUUUAUGGCGAUGGUGCUAUCAUGGAGACAUGUUGGGUGGCACUCUGGUAGUCCUCAGUAGGGCAGGCUGGUUACAGACGUGGCACUGGAAGUGCAGAAACUGUCCCAUACAAGACUUGCUGACAGACUGGAUAUGGGAAUUACAAAAGAAAGGAAUCAUGGAUACCUUUCCUAUUUCAGGCUUGAAAUAACUUCCUAUUAUGGGGGAAUGCUGGGAGGGAGUGAAGGGGGGGGGGGCCAGGAGUCUGUUUUAGCCACAUUCAAUGUGAGAUGCCUAUUAACUCUCCAAGCAGAGACCAACACAAACAGUUGAACACGAUGCUGGAGCUCAGCAGAGAAGGCAGGACUGGAGAGAGAUUCGUCUGAUAAAGAGGAUGCCAUCUACUACCACGCUGUCCCCCUCUCCUCACAACUGCUCUUCAUGACUCUUCACUGGAUCUCAGCUCCCAAAGCCCAAGAAUCUGCUGGGUGGGAUAAGGACUUGGAAGACACUGGAAGAGGGAUGGCCACCCACCUCGUUCCACUUCCAGCCGCCGCUGCCUCUCUCGCUCCUGAUCCGCCUGCACGGCCUUCAUGUGCUGUAACACCUGCAAAGGGAGAGGACGGCUCUCAACUACUCAAAGUAAUCGUCUUCACAGCUCACUUCUGCUCAGGGCAGUCUCAAAAAAGAGACUAUAUUCAGGAUCCUAGAUUACCACAGGUCCCCGGUAGCAAUGCAGAACUAAUAGAGUUAAUCCUCUCUUUGUAUCAUAAGUUAUUAUGCCAGCCUUAAUUGGAGAAGAAUCACAUAAGCCCAGUUCAUUAAAGUUGUCAGAAAAAAAUCUGUGAAACAUGAUGCCAGCUUAAAUCUGUAAAAAGUUCUUCCAUUUACAAUCAUUCUCACGUUUGAUUUCAUAGAAUCCUCCCAGCAAAAACUUGGGAUUGGCAUUUCCUCCAACUCACUUUCCUGACCUCCCCUCCUUUGGCUACUUUAGGUACCACCUCCCACCCCUAUGGAAUUCAUACAGGAUACUGCAAUUAACUUGCUACCCAGCUGUCUCAGUCAUAAGACUGCAAGCUCCUUAAGGGCUGAACUGUUGUCCUAUCCGUAGGUGCCCCAGGUGGGCAUAGCUAGCACAGAUCUCAGCUAAUCAUAGGCAUUCAAUACAUGUAUGAUGAAUGACUGGAUUCUUAUUUCCAAAGGAAGAAAACCAAGAUGGAUAGGGUGAUUUGUCCACUGCACAUGGCUAGAAAGUAGCACAGCUAAGACCUGGGUGCAGAUUCCUAGAACAGAGCUUGUUGUACUCACUGCCACCAAAGGCACAGGGGAGGAAAGCUCUAAGAGAAAGGCCCAAACAUGACGCCCUUCUACUUGGCACCCUGAGCUCCCUCAACAACUCACUCAACAACUCAAUCACGGAUGACCUCUGACUAAUGCCACAAAGAUUCUCACCAUGGACAAGGUUGUGGGAGGACGCAAAAAAAAUCUUUUCUGUUUGUAUUUUUUUGAAGGUGGUCUUCCUUAGAUGGAAGGGACAGAGUAUAAGCUUGGAGCCCCCUGCAAAUCCUGACUACCACUUACUAUGUGACCUUGGUAAGUGACUUAACCUUUUUGAGCCAGUUUUCUCAUCUGGAAAACAGAGAUAAGAUACCCUUCUCUCUUGCCUGUUGUGAAGAUUAAAUAAGGUAACUCGUACUGGAUGCCUAGCAAAAUCCCAGGGAUUAUAUGUGCUCAAGAAAUACUGCUGCUUAUCUUCUUUACCCCAUGAAUGAAAAAAGAAGAAAAUCUGUACUAUUCUAAGAUAGCAAAAGGGUCUUAUUUCACUACUGCACUAAACCACCUACAGGACAGACGUGUAUUCAAACAUAAUUCUUUUUAUUUCUUGGAAUCUUCAGACCACAAACAGCCAUCAUAAGAGGGACUCAGAAGCAGGCCUGCAAAAGGAUCUCCCUUCAAGAGCCUGGUCUGAAGCCACCAGGAACCCUGUCCUGAGUAAUCUAAGACUUGAACUUGCUGGUACCUCUCCCUGUGGAGUCAUGCUAACAAAAAUGGCUGCUCAACAAGGAGUUGCAGGAUCUGGAGAAGGUUAAGUAUGAUGGUGAAAGGCAGCCCUAGCUCAAAGUCCCUGUCUCUGAACUCUGAAUAUUAAAUAAGCAUUAACCAUUCCGUUGGGUUUAGGGGUAUACAGCUGGCUAAGAGACAUCCCUUUUUACCUUGGCUACAAGUGCUACCUACCAUCUGAGUUAAUUAUCUGAAAAUACAGGCAGUUCAGAAAUGGGAGAGACUCUCCUAGUCUAGACUAUGAGCUCCUGGAGGGUAUAUUUUAUCUACCUACCCUGGUUCACAGCACACAGUAAGCACUUGAUGAGUACUGUU